CCCUUAGAUGUUCUGGGCUGCACGCGUGCUACAAUGGCGUUUCCAGCAAGUCUGCGAACCCGAGAGGGCCAGCGGAUCUUCGAAUUGGCGUCGUGAUCGGGACAGUCGAUUGCAAUUAUUUGACUCAAACGAGGAAUUCCUUGUAAUCGCGAUUCAUCAUAUCGCGCUGAAUACGUCCCUGCCCUUUGUACACACCGCCCGUCGCUCCUACCGAUUGGGCGAUCCGGUAAAUGUUUUGGAUUGGUGCCGGGGCGGCUAGCUGCCGGUCGCUACGAAAUUUUGUGAACCUUAUCGCUUAGAGGAAGGAAAAGUCGUAACA
rnacentral:rRNA from 1 species